rnacentral:tRNA from 1 species
GAGGGUAUAGCUCUGUGGUAGACUGCAUGACUAGCAGUCACAAGGUCCUGGGUUCAAAUCCCAGCACCUCCA